AGAGUUUGAUCAUGGCUCAGAAUCAACGCUGGCGGCGUGCCUAACACAUGCAAGUCGAACGCGAAAGGGGAGCAAUCCCUGAGUAGAGUGGCAAACGGGUGAGUAACACGUGGGUGACCUGCCUUCGAGUGGGGGAUAACGUCCCGAAAGGGACGCUAAUACCGCAUGACAUCCUGCUUUUGGAAAAGCGGAGAUCAAAGCUGGGGAUCGCAAGACCUGGCGCUUGAAGAGGGGCCCGCGCCUGAUUAGCUAGUUGGUGGGGUAAUGGCUCACCAAGGCUACGAUCAGUAUCCGGCCUGAGAGGGCGGACGGACACACUGGGACUGAGACACGGCCCAGACUCCUACGGGAGGCAGCAGUGGGGAAUUGUUCGCAAUGGGCGCAAGCCUGACGACGCAACGCCGCGUGGAGGACGAAGAUCUUCGGGUCGUAAACUCCUGUCGAGCGGGAAGAACGCUUCGCGGAUGAAUAAGCCGCGGAAAUGACGGUACCGCUAAAGGAAGCCCCGGCUAACUCCGUGCCAGCAGCCGCGGUAAUACGGGGGGGGCAAGCGUUGUUCGGAAUUACUGGGCGUAAAGGGCUCGUAGGCGGCCAACUAAGUCGGAUGUGAAAUCCCCAGGCUUAACCUGGGAACUGCAUCCGAUACUGGAUGGCUUGAAUCCGGGAGAGGGAUGCAGAAUUCCAGGUGUAGCGGUGAAAUGCGUAGAUAUCUGGAGGAAUACCGGUGGCGAAGGCGGCAUCCUGGACCGGCAUUGACGCUGAUGAGCGAAAGCUAGGGGAGCAAACGGGAUUAGAUACCCCCGUAGUCC
rnacentral:rRNA from 1 species